CAAACCAAAGCUAGCGACCGGCGCACGGGUGAGUAACACGUAUCCAACCUGCCUCAUACUCGGGGAUAGCCUUUCGAAAGAAAGAUUAAUAUCCGAUAGCAUAUAUUUCCCGCAUGGGUUUUAUAUUAAAGAAAUUCGGUAUGAGAUGGGGAUGCGUUCCAUUAGUUUGUUGGGGGGUAACGGCCCACCAAGACUACGAUGGAUAGGGGUUCUGAGAGGAAGGUCCCCCACAUUGGAACUGAGACACGGUCCAA
rnacentral:rRNA from 1 species